rnacentral:lncRNA from 1 species
GGAUUGAAUCAAUGGUUGUUGACUAGUCUGGCGCUCUUCUUCUAUCAAACUAUAGAUAGGAAGGGUUUUUCCUUUAUCUUCUCACCAACUAGUCUCCCACGUCUUUUCAUUUUGAUGGUGUGACCUCGCGCAAAGCUUGGAUGGUUUUCUCUGGACCGGAGCACUAGAAAUACUAGUUUUAUCUUCUCCACGGCAACACAUGCACGUGAAUGAUGCCUUGGCACUUGGUGGCCGUGAGCUCCAUCCCUCUUUUUCUUUUGAUGAGCCCGCUGCUAGUGGAGCAGGUCUCUCCUUUUUUGCUUCUGUUUCCCAGUCAAUAGGUGUGUUUCCUCCCGGACGAACGACGGAGUAUAGCAAUUACACCGAGCAAACUCGUUUGCUCCUCUAGGCUACGGUGAGAUUAUUCUCGAUGAGGUAGUUUACAGCAAAUUGGUUUUCAGACUUUAGUCGGAUUCGUUGAUGAAGGUACUUCUCUGGCCGCUCUUUGUCCACGAAAAGUCAGCGGAGGAUUUGUCCAAAGCGGUUUUAAUGUCCAACACUGUUAUGCCACUUCUGGUGCUGAUGGCAGGAGAGGCGACAGCGGCAAGGCCCAAGGCCUCGGCAGUAAGGUGUGGCGACGAUUUACGGGCACGCAGGAGGAACGUGCGGCGGGCUAGGGAUUCCAACAUCGGCAACAGGUGUGCGGCCGUGGCGCGCAUUGAGGCAGGUGGCGGAGCGAGGCGCACGGUGGCGGACACGGCAGGCGCAGCGUCGCGCAGCAGCGAGAGCUGCGGCUGAAGGUGGAGGUGCGGCGGGUUGGAGCAUGCGGAGAUGAAGGCGAAGGCAUGGCGCGACCGAUGCAGCCGGGCGAGUUGAAGCGAAAACUGCAGUUGUGGAGAAGACCAGCAGGGGAGGAGACGGCAAGACGGCCGGCGGCUUGACGGGUGUGUUUGAGCGCAGACUGCGCGGGGCAGGUGAGCGGAUGGCCGGAGCUCAUCGCAAUACAGUGGGUGGAGUCGACCGUAAGAGCGGCGGCUCAAGGAUAUUGUGGCUCGGGGUCGGCUUAAUACAGGGCGACACCGUCCCAGAUCGAGAUGAACUCGGAGCGAGGCGGAGGCGCGUCACCAGCAUGGUAGGGCAGCUUGCGACGAAGCCAGCAGCAGUUGCGACGAGACCGAGUCUGCCUCUGAACUGUGGUCUUUCUUCCAAUAGCUUCAUGUACGCGAUGUUUGAUACUGGACGCUGUUUUUGCUUUUAAUUUGAUAUGAGGGAACAGUCCCCUUAUCUUGUCUGGACGCUGUAGUUCUUUGUAGCUUUGGGAUUUGAUAGUUCAACAACAACGCAACCAGAUGUGCAUUGGGUGUAGCAGAGGUAAUUACCCGUGACAGCUGCACCAUAGAAUCGAUCUCAGGUGACGAUGCGGCAGCGCAGCAUAUGGUGGCUCUGCAGGAAAGCUCACGAACUCCGCGACACGUGGUAGAACUAGUAGAAAUAGAUCCUCUAUUCAGACUCAAAAAAUCUCGUCCCAUCCGAGCGUGUAGAACAGCAAACCCUAAUUCCAAAUUGACAAGUCUCGGCUUUUCUUCAUCUGAACAAUCGCGA